rnacentral:rRNA from 1 species
CAGCAGUGAGGAAGGUGGGUAUGUUAAUAGCAUACUCAUUUGACGUUUAGCUGCAGAAGAAGCACCGGCUAACUCCGUGCCAGCAGCCGCGGUAAUACGGAGGGUGCGAGCGUUAAUCGGAAUUACUGGGCGUAAAGCGCAUGCAGGUGGUUUGUUAAGUCAGAUGUGAAAGCCCCGGGGCUCAACCUCGGAAUUGCAUUUGAAACUGGCAAACUAGAGUACUGGUAGAGGGGGUAGAAUUUCAGGUGUAGCGGUGAAAUGCGUAGAGAUCUGAAGGAAUACCCGGUGGCGAAGGCGGCCCCCCUGGACAGAUACUGACACUCAGAUGCGAAAGCGUGGGGAGCAAACAGGAUUAGAUACCCCUGGUAG